rnacentral:rRNA from 1 species
UACGUAGGGUGCGAGCGUUGUCCGGAAUUAUUGGGCGUAAAGAGCUCGUAGGCGGUUUGUCGCGUCGGCCGUGAAAACCUGCAGCUUAACUGUGGGCUUGCGGUCGAUACGGGCAUCACUGGAGUUCGGCAGGGGAGACUGGAAUUCCUGGUGUAGCGGUGAAAUGCGCAGAUAUCAGGAGGAACACCGGUGGCGAAGGCGGCAUCCUGGACCGGUAUUGACGCUGAUGCGCGAAAGCCAGGGGAGCAAACGGG